rnacentral:rRNA from 1 species
CAUGGCUCAGGACGAAACGCUGGCGGCGUGCUUAACACAUGCAAGUUCGAACGAUGAAAGCCUAGCUUGCUAGAGUGGAUUAGUCGGCGAACGGGUCGAGUAAUACGUGAGUCGACCUACCUUCGACUCUGGGAUAAGCCUAGGGAAACUGGGUCUAAUACCGGAUACGACCAAUCUCCGCAUGGGGUGUUGGUGGAAAGCGUUAUGGAGUGGUUUUAGAUGGGCUCACGGCCUAUCAGCUUGUUGGUGAGGUAAUGGCUUACCAAGGCGACGACGGGUAGCCGGCCUGAGAGGGUGACCGGCCACACUGGGACUGAGACACGGCCCAGACUCCUACGGGAGGCAGCAGUGGGGAAUAUUGCACAAUGGGCGCAAGCCUGAUGCAGCGACGCCGCGUGAGGGAUGACGGCCUUCGGGUUGUAAACCUCUGUUAGCAUCGAAGAAGCGAAAGUGACGGUAGGUGCAGAGAAAGCGCCGGCUAACUACGUGCCAGCAGCCGCGGUAAUACGUAGGGCGCGAGCGUUGUCCGGAAUUAUUGGGCGUAAAGAGCUUGUAGGCGGUUGGUCGCGUCUGCUGUGAAAGGCUGGGGCUUAACCCUGGUUUUGCAGUGGGUACGGGCUAACUAGAGUGCAGUAGGGGAGACUGGAAUUCCUGGUGUAGCGGUGGAAUGCGCAGAUAUCAGGAGGAACACCGAUGGCGAAGGGCAGGUCUCUGGGCUGUAACUGACGCUGAGAAGCGAAAGCAUGGGGAGCGAACAGGAUUAGAUACCCUGGUAGUCCAUGCCGUAAACGUUGGGCACUAGGUUGUGGGGGACAUUCCACGUUUUCCGCGCCGUAGCUAACGCAUUAAGUGCCCCGCCUGGGGAGUACGGCCCGCAAGGCUAAAACUCAAAGAAAUUGACGGGGGCCCGCACAAGCGGCGGAGCAUGCGGAUUAAUUCGAUGCAACGCGAAGAACCUUACCAAGGCUUGACAUAUACUGGACUGCGUCAGAGAUGGCGUUUCCCUUCGGGGCUGGUAUACAGGUGGUGCAUGGUUGUCGUCAGCUCGUGUCGUGAGAUGUUGGGUUAAGUCCCGCAACGAGCGCAACCCUCGUUCUAUGUUGCCAGCACGUGAUGGUGGGGACUCAUAGGAGACUGCCGGGGUCAACUCGGAGGAAGGUGGGGAUGACGUCAAAUCAUCAUGCCCCUUAUGUCUUGGGCUUCACGCAUGCUACAAUGGCCGGUACAGAGGGUUGCGAUACUGUGAGGUGGAGCUAAUCCCUAAAAGCCGGUCUCAGUUCGGAUUGGGGUCUGCAACUCGACCCCAUGAAGUCGGAGUCGCUAGUAAUCGCAGAUCAGCAACGCUGCGGUGAAUACGUUCCCGGGCCCUUGCACCCACCGCCC